rnacentral:rRNA from 1 species
AUUGAACGCUGGCGGCAGGCCUAACACAUGCAAGUCGAACGAGUGGCGGACGGGUGAGUAAUGUCUGGGAAACUGCCUGAUGGAGGGGGAUAACUACUGGAAACGGUAUCUAAUACCGCAUACCAUCGGAUGUUCCCAGAGGGGAUUAGCUAGUAGGGGGGGUAAGGGCUCACCGAGGCGACGAUCCCGAGCUGGUCUGAGAGGAUGACCAGCCACACUGGAAAUGAGACACGGGCCAGACGCCUACGGGAGGCAGCAGUGGGGAAUAUUGCACAAUGGGCGCAAGCCUGAUGCAGCCAUGCCGCGUGUAUGAAGAAGGCCUUCGGGUUGUAAAGUACUUUCAGCGGGGAGGCGUUACCCGCAGAAGAAGCACCGGCUAACUCCGUGCCAGCAGCCGCGGUAAUUC